CAUGGAAGUUGCUGCUUCUGAUCCAGAGCUGGGAAAGGUUAACAGGGCCGCGGGUCGCCCAGGGUUGGGAUGUUGGUGUCGGCUGGGGGCUGCUGUGAGGCGCUUGGUAGCACCCAGUCCUGAUACUCUCCAGUUACCCGGUAGGCGGGGCUCGGACACAAAGAAAAGGUUAUCUAGAGACACUCAGGAUGUGGGGGACACCCCAGCAAUGCCAUCCCUCCUUUGACCUCCAGAGCGCGCAGAAUUACAAAGGAUCUUUGGGGGCUUGGAUGGAGGAACAGGAAAAGAGGAGCCAGGCUUUUUUGGAAAAUUGGCGGCAGCGGUGGCAUACGGGAAACUGAAAUCUUUAUCUAAUCUCAUCCUUUGUAUAUUCGUCUUGGAUUUGCUGAAGAAAAUUAAAAGGCCAGGCCUACCACUCCUAUGGCACAGUAUUGAUGAGAGACAUCAGUGGAGCUCCCCACCUCCACCCCAGGCUUGGAACUUAGGGAAUGACUGGUUUUUGUCAUUUCACACAACAGCUGAAGGAUUCUGUCCCCACCUCGUCCUCUGUGAAGUCUGCUGGACGUACCUGCCAGAAUCUUCUGAAGAUGACGUUUGCUGAACACUGACCCACAGGGGUUUGAUGGAUUAUUGACAAUGAGACAAGCUGUCUUUUCAUCAAUUAGAUAUUCCAGUUGUUUCAGGUCAAUUUCCCAAGAUUUCUCUGGCUGGAGAGAAAGAAAGGAUGAGACUAAGAUGAUUCUGAAACAUUUAGGGGGAAUCCUCACUUAUCUCAAGGGUCCAAUGUAAGCAAUAAAGUCUGUCUCUGGCUUCAACCACCACUUUGAGACCUUCCUCUGCUGAAGUAAUGUUCAUAUAUUUUUUACAGGUGAAACCAUGGGUAGUACUGAGCCCUAGGUUGGGCAUCUAUCCCACACCAAGCACUGUCUGGCAUCUUGAACCUGAAUCGAGUCAUGUAAUCUUCACAUCAGUCCUAGAAGUAGAGGCUGUUUCAUUCC
rnacentral:lncRNA from 1 species